AAGUUACAUGUAAAUAUUUAAGCACUUAUAAUUCCUACAGUAGUGCCAACCAAUUCGCGAUAUGAAUUAUUAAUUCCCCAAAAAUUCAUUCCUAUGCGCUAUUGCUUUACAAUACUUUCCAAAAAAUGUCACGUAAAUCCGUAUACACGCUUCAAUCUGUCCCACAUUUUAAUAAAAUUCGAAUGUAGAGGUUUUUGCUUUCGUCUGUACACCGCGAGAAAUUCGGAUAAGCAAGGGUUUUUUUGUGCACUAAUGAGUGCGUGAAAUAAAUGUAUACAUGAAUGUGGACAUAAGCUCAAUGCUGAGAGCCGUAUGUGCAAUUCCCCCAAGUGGAGCAAUGCCCCAUGGAUAUCGCCUGUACCCGCGAAUCUUGUAUCAAUUUGUCUUAGAAGCUUUGUUUCGGCUUGGCUAAAUAAAUUUGAGAUGUCUGGAGUUAGCCAAUUGCAGAUGCAAACGAGCAUUAUAAUACGAUCGUUAGUGAAGCAGAGGAAUAAAAGCGGGGGAAACACAAAGAAACCGGAUUCGAAGACUCUUCUCCGGUCGGUUCUGUACUUCAAGUGUUAUCAUCGCAGCAGCAGCAGCAGCAGCAGCAGCAGCAGCAGCAGCAGCAGCAGAGUUGAAAUAAAUACUUGUAUACGAAAAA
rnacentral:sRNA from 1 species